rnacentral:sRNA from 1 species
GUCUUUGUUUCUCUCUGCAGAGAAGGGCGUGUUUGAAGGGCAGAUGUAUACUUUUUGGUAUUAUCCCAAUAGACUAUGCAGUGAGGAAAAAGAGAAGAAAAUGAAUGAAAUGCCUUGUAUUUUUAAGACAGUCUUUGCUUUUCUUAGUAUAAAAACAAUACAUGCUGUUUCUGAAAAUUCAGUGUCUCUGGCCCAGAGAAAACCUUUGUCAGCGUUUCGAGGGUGUGCCUGCCCUAUUAAUGCUCAUUCCCUCUCCAUAUCUGCACCCACACACACCAGAACGAGAUGCUGGAGGAGGGCCAAGAAUAUGCUGUCAUGCUGUACACCUGGAGGAGCUGCUCCCGGGCCAUCCCACAGGUGAAAUGUAACGAGCAGCCUAACAGAGUGGAAAUCUAUGAGAAAACCGUGGAGGUUCUGGAGCCUGAGGUCACAAAACUGAUGAAUUUCAUGUACUUCCAGAGAAACGCCAUUGAGCGUUUCUGCGGGGAGGUGAGGCGCCUGUGCCACGCCGAGAGGAGGAAGGACUUCGUGUCAGAAGCCUACCUGAUCACACUGGGCAAGUUCAUCAACAUGUUCGCUGUGCUG